AUAGAAGUUCUUGAGCUUCUCUUCAGCCUUCUGCUCCCUGUCCUAUCUCCCCCAUUUAAAAAUCAAGGAUGGAUAAUUGCAGUUAAAUGCAGGGUGUCCCAGGUGAAGCAAAUUCAGUGCAGUUCUCCUGUGUGAGAGAAGGAGGAAUUUAAGAACACAAGCAAGGAGUUUGAGAUGGAUUCCAUACUCAGGAGUGAUUGAGGAUGGAUUUUUAUUAGUAUUCAUUUCUAUGCCACUCAUCACCACAGGAUCUGAGCAACUCCUGAACAGGCAAGAAUACCCCUGUGAGGUUAGGUAAGCAUUAGAACUGGUCAAAACAUUUCUGACAAAAUGUGUUUUUCACUGGAAAAUGCCAUUUAAAAAAAAAUUGAAACUUUCUGCAAGAAUGUGUAG
rnacentral:lncRNA from 1 species